CAUGUUUGUUUGAGUGCCGCAAUUCUCUGCAGCAAUGCGAUUUGACCUGCGUCUUUGUUGACCGGGUUUAAACAAAGCUAGAGGAUGGUCAGUUUGGACUAGUCCGAGUGCUAAGCAUUCUUGGGUCUAGGACGGAUUGCUCAUUAAUCUAUCUUUUUUCAUUUGGCCUCAAAUCAAGCAAGACUACCCGCUGAACUUAA
rnacentral:misc_RNA from 1 species